rnacentral:rRNA from 1 species
UGAGACACGGCCCAGACUCCUACGGGAGGCAGCAGUAGGGAAUCUUGGACAAUGGGGGCAACCCUGAUCCAGCAAUACCGCGUGUGUGAAGAAGGCCUGAGGGUUGUAAAGCACUUUCAAUUGUGAAGAAAAGUUAACGGUUAAUACCCGUUAACCUUGACGUUAACUUUAGAAGAAGCACCGGCUAACUCCGUGCCAGCAGCCGCGGUAAUACG